rnacentral:lncRNA from 1 species
UAAAGAAGCCACCCAUAUCUUUCCUAAACCAUAGGAUUUAGAUUUGAUUUUCUUUUCCUUUAAGAUAUCACAUGGUUCAGAAACAAGUCUUCCCUCUUGACUGAUUCUUCCUUUAAAGAAAUUCUUUUCCCUUUCCUUGUUCACAUCACUAAGCUUCUGUUCCAACUCUCAUACCUUUCCUUAAUUCCUCAUUACAAAAUGUGAUAGACAAUAUUGUAGGAACUGGAAUAGUGUUUAUGCUCAUAAGGAAGGCUCUAUGAGAUGAUGAGACUUCUUCAAAUAACAUAAAGUGAGAUAGUGAAUAUAAUAGAUGCUUAGUCACUCUCUUGAUUAUUUUGAAUAGCAAUU